AUACCUAGCAGGCCAAAAGUUGGGCAAAGAUGCUCUAAUAUUGAGCCACAGAUUCGGGCUAAGUCACCAAGUGUGGGUUUCCAAUGGGCUCACUCUGAUUUUGAGCAUCCCUGGGAAUGCAAGCACGGGGCCUGCUCCUCCCCAUGUCCUCACACCACAUUCUCUUGGCUCCUCAGCAGAUCCCCCAAAGGCUGUGGUGUUCCUAGAGCCUUCGUGGGAUAGGGUGCUCCGGGAUGACAGUGUGACUCUGAAGUGCCAGGGGGACUACUCUCCUGGAAACACAUCCACAGAGUGGUUUCACAAUGGGAGCCUCAUCUCAAGCCAGGACUCGAGCUACUUCAUUGCAGCUGCCAGAGUUGAGGACAGCGGAGAGUACAGGUGCCAGACAUCCCUCUCCACGCUCAGUGACCCGGUGCAGCUAGAAGUCCAUAACGGUGAGUCGGCGAAAAGGAAGAGGGAACUCACCAAUAAAGGGGUGAAACAAGGGGCCCUGAGAUACUUGGGAAGAGCCAGAAGAUGAUGUUCUUGGGGAUUAAAAUUAAGAUGAGAUAAUCUGUGGUCCCACUGAAUGAUAUCAGAGUGGUAGUCCUAGCUACAAGUAGGCCUUAGGCAAAAUGUCAAAGCCUGCCAUAUCAUAGAUAUAGGUCUGCUGCACUGCACAAUUCUAGAAAUCACUACACACAUUGAAUGCAUAUAGUGUGAAUGUGUCAUCCGGAGGUCAGGGCAUGAUGUUGAUAGCUACCUCCCAAAUCAUCCCUAAUGGUCUAGCACCAUAUCUAUCUCUCUCUCCUCCUAAAUGCCAUACUCGAACUUACACUUCAGCAUAAAUUUGGCAAUCUAUACCUUUCCCAACGGAGAUAUAUACAUGCUGAGC